UCCCGCCAUGAGAACCAAAACGACGCCGCGUUGAUUCUGAGAGGCAGCAAUGGCGGAAGUGAAGCGGUGGAGCGUGACCUACACGAAGCACAUGAAGCAGAAGCGCAAGGUUUACCAGGACGGUUUCUUAGAGCUCCACACCUCCACCAAUAAGAUGCUGCUGUACGACGACUGCGAGAAGCUAUUGGAGUGCAGGAUCUCGAAGAAGGACGAAGCCGUUAGCUCCGGCGAAACACUCACCUUCAAUGCCUUUCUCGUUGACGUGAACGACGCUGAAUCCGGUGCCGGAGAUCAGAGACCUAAACCUGAGGUCAAUUCUGACGGCGUGAAUUUCAGUGAGAAGCGAGCGAAAUCGUGGAAUAGGCCGCAGCCGUUUCAGACUCCGGCGCAGAAUAUAAUCAGAGGGAAGAAGCCACUGCAGAACUUGAGUCCGUCGCAGAAUAUUAUCAGAGAGUUCAAGAAGAGGGAACUACACAAGUAUGGUGCACCACUUAGUAGUCCCGAGACGGUGAAAACCAGCACAACAGAUUGGCAGGCUUUGUACACCACACAGCUAACUCAAAAGGCAAAGAGGUAUCAUGAUGGUUUCUUGCAACUAGCAAUUACGGGGACUCACGGAAAGCAGAUAAUACUGUUGGAUUCAAACAGGAAUCAGUUAAAUAGCAGGUUCCUGAAGAAAGAUGAAGUCAUAGCAUCUGGUGGAUCAAUAGCAUUUGAUGCUCAUUUGGUUGAUAUUGGAGAGCAGGAAGGAGAGCAUAAACGUGUAGUGAAUUUGCAUCUUAAAGAGAAUAAGCGGAAUGUUGUGGGGGAGACAAGAAUAAAGCAGGAACACAGCAAUGGUGAUAUCACUGGUAUAGAUGAUGAUAAAGGUGAAGAAAACUCUCAAAACAAAGCUAGUUUGAAGAAAGCUGUAAACUCGAAUUUUAGCAUCUCUGGUGUACAGGAAACAAAACCAAGCAGGGGAGUCCCUGCAAAUAAGCUUAUACGUGAUGCCCAUCAGAUUUUGUCCUUUUUCCAAAACCCUAUGGCUCAGGAUACUGUAGCUUCACGCCAAGCUAACAGCACUGACAAACCAGUUUCCUCAACCAAGGGGUCUGAAGUUUCAGAUGUUAUAAUGUUGGAUUUCUCUGAAGAUGUUCGGCCUGUAUCAGUACCACAUCACAGCUCAGUUGAAAAUAGAGAGCCAGGCAAUAAUUUGGAAAUUGGAAAUAAAGCAAUUUCCAGCGGUUCUAGCAAUCAAUUAGCUGAGGGUAUUGAUAUUAAAAACUUUCACAAGCUUCAUUCACACCAUGUCAAAGCUGAUACUACACAACACACUACAGAAUUUGUGUGUGAUGAUUCAAGAUCAAGUUCUUGUGUUUCUCAUGUUACUGCUGAUGACGAGAAGAUUGUUUCCCAGGAGCCUACUACUUGUGCAAGGAAAUUAGAUUGCCCAAGUUUUGAACUAGAAGGCCCUAGUUUUGAUCUUGGAUUUUGACCAACCUAGAAGCAUUUGUAUAUGUACCUUGCGACCGGUGAUAGCGUCUUGUGAAUGCUAACAGGAAAAACUGUAACCAGUAAGCAAUGAUGAACAAUGGCCACUUCUUUUAAAACAUCGAAAAUCAGAAUUAAAAACGCAGCGUGAAGCAACCACAGAUGAUCAAUUAUUUAAACUUGCUAGCAUG